rnacentral:lncRNA from 1 species
CCACCCUCCUGUUUGGUUUUAAACAGAUAUUAGUUAAAAUAUUGAUAUUCAUGAAUGUAUCAUUUGUGCAGUACAGUAGUACAGUGACAGAUUCGGGGGGGGGGGGGGGUGGGAUUGUUGUCAUACAUAUGUCGUUGAUCCAGGCAAAUCAUUUAUCAUGUCAAAAUCAUGAUACAGAAGGAAAUUUCCAUAUGCACGAUCAGAAUUUUCAGUACAGAAAAUAUUUUUUACUGAAUAGAGAAAAAUAGAACAUCUUCCCCUAUUAUACUCUCCUUUUCAUGACCCUAAUAAAUGGGAUAGUUUUGUUUGUUUUAUUAAACUGUUUUUGUUUUCAAAAAUAAUAUUUGUACAAGGUGUUGUUAAUAACUGUAAUGGACAUUAAAUAUAUAUGCCAUGCCUUCUCACACGACGUCGUACUUUUUAUUUUCUCUUCCUGUGCAAUAUGAUAUUAAACUCAUUAUGCAGAGCAAUUUUUAUGCCGCUACUUGCAUAAUUGUUAAAUCGUAUUAAACAUGUUAAAUUCUGUAUCAGAUUUAUAUUAAUAUUAAAGUUACAUAUAUCUUGAAUAUUGAAAACGGAUUCAAAUUAUUUACUGGCUUUCAUAUUGAUUUAAAAAUAUUUGGUUUGUGUUUGUUUUUUGUUUUUUUUUUUCCAUUGUAGAUGUGAGAAAAAAGCAGCUCUGUUUCUCUUAAAAUUGUCACAUGGUGUCUUAUGUCGUCUGAAUACAUAAUGUAUGUUAUUGAUCCGUAAUAAUUAUAUAUUUCAAAAUGUUUAUUUGGCACGCCAUACUCGAUAAAAGUGCGGACGUGAAAGAAAGCACUCUUCACGUAAACGUCAACGAAGAUUGCAUUUUGAAAAAAUACAAAAUAUAGAUCUAAAUAAAGAAAUAUAUAAAAAUAUAUAAACAUAUUU